rnacentral:rRNA from 1 species
UACAGAGGGGGCAAGCGUUAUUCGGAAUUAUUGGGCGUAAAGGGCGCGUAGGCGGCCUGGCAAGUGGAAGGUGAAAUCCCUCGGCUUAACCGAGGAACUGCCCCUCCAAACUGCUUGGCUUGAGUCCGGGAGAGGUGAGUGGAAUUCCCAGUGUAGCGGUGAAAUGCGUAGAUAUUGGGAGGAACACCCAGUGGGCGAAAGGGCCG